rnacentral:tRNA from 1 species
AGAGGAUAGUUCAGUGGUAGAACACUUGCUUAGCAUGCACAGGGCCCUGGGUUCAAUACCCAGUGCCUCCA